GAAGGAUUGUUUUGAGAUCAGUAAACGGCUAUGUGAGUAGAAAAUCAUUAAGAGGCAAAAUAUUUUCUCUGUCAUAGGAUCAGAUCAUCUCCCCCAACCUCCAUCCCUGACCUUUAUGUAGAGAGGCUGAUAAGUAGGACCUCACAAAAGCCCAAGGCUUAACAUCAGCCCAGAGAGCCAGAGGUGCUGAUCUAGCAAACCUUACAAAGACCUGUGCUUUGACAAGAGCCAGUAGCCUCACAGAGGCCUGACUUUGACUUUACCCCAGCAAAGUAGUGGUUCUGUGCCAGAGACCUGAGGCCUGUGUCCAGACUCAUGCUAGGAAGAUGGAGGUACCGAGCUAGUAUCCUGACAAAGUCCCGCUUGGCUUCAGCCAGGAGCCUGGAAGUGCUGUAGCCGGAACUCUGUGUCAGUGCUUUCACCAUUACCAACCUAGCAUGUCAUAUGUGAUGAGCCAGUGACCUCAUAGAAGCCCAUUCUUUGAUAUCAAUCCAGUAUGCUACAUUUGAGGAACAAGUGACCUCAUAGAGGACAUAAACCCAGAAACCUAGAGGUGCUGAAACAUUAACCACAUAAAGGCCUGUUGCCUUGGCGCCAGCCAUCAUUCUAGAAUGUGUUGAGAUUUGACUUUAUCCCAGCAAGCUAAAGGUCCUGAGCUGGUAACCCUCCAAGGCCUGUGCAUUUACAUUAACCCAGCACGCUAUAAUUGGUGAGCGAGUGACAUCACAGAGGCCUUUGCACUGAAUUCAGCCCGUGGUGAUCAGAUCAGCAUGGGAAAAAGAAUGAGCUAGUGAACUCUUCUGGAGCGAUACAAGAGGGAUUUAAGAAGAGCUGAGGAGCUGGCCUUCUGCAGAUAUUACAUGUUAAUAUAGCCUGGAACACACAAGGACAUUCCAGAAGCAUUCUGAUGCUGUACCAUUAUUCACAAAAGACAAGCUCUGUAAACUGGAUACAGAAGAAAAAGCAGGUGACACCCAUGAGCAGCUCUCUCAUUGAGACUCUUUGAUUCAGGUUGUUAAAUCUGAGAGGAGCCAAAAGCAUUAGGGAAUGUCUGUGGGUGUGCCAAGAAAGACCCACUCACCCACCCAGUCAGCACAGUAAACUGUUACACUACAAUGUCAUUCAGAAUGGCAACACCCAUCAUGACACCCAACCAUCAGAAAUGAGAAGUUGCCCUUCCUAAUUUGAUCUACUUUGAUUACUACCCAUGUGUUCAUUUAUGAACUCCAGGAGAUGGCACUAAUUCAGUCCUAAUUGUGUUUUCUUGACUUUGAACCUUUAUGUACCUAAAAAGGUUGUUUUUAAGAUCAUGUGAAAUGUUUUGGAUCUAGUGCCCUUUUUUUUUUUUUUUGUAAAGUGAGAAAAAGUAGCUUAUGGCCCCAAAAAGUUUUACCUUUGUUUCCUGAGGACAAUUGAAACAGCAUGUGAAUUACAAGUUAAAAGAGAUGGCUGAUUUAUACUAUGUGUAUCUUUUUCCCUGCAGCAAAUGAAUAACUUCAAUAUUGUUAUCAAAUGCACACUGUAGUAUUUUGGGGUGAUAAAAUAAUUAAGUGUU